rnacentral:rRNA from 1 species
CAGUGGUGAAAUCUUCACAGCUUAAACUGUGAAACUGCCAUUUGAUACUGCAGGUUCUUGAGUAAAUUUGAAGUGGCUGGAAUAAGUAGUGUAGCGGUGAAAUGCAUAGAUAUUUACUUAGAACACCAAUUGCGAAGGCAGGUCACUAAGAUUUAACUGACGCUGAUGGACGAAAGCGUGGGGAGCGAACAGGAUUAGAUACCCUGGUAGUCCACGCCGUAAACGAUGCUAACUCGUUUUUGGGGUUUCGGCUUCAGAGACUAAGCGAAAGUGAUAAGUUAGCCACCUGGGGAGUACGUUCGCAAGAAUGAAACUCAAAGGAAUUGACGGGGGCCCGCACAAGCGGUGGAUUAUGUGGUUUAAUUCGAUGAUACGCGAGGAACCUUACCAAGACUUAAAUGGGAAUUGACAGAUUUAGAAAUAGAUCUUUCUUCGGACAAUUUUCAAGGUGCUGCAUGGUUGUCGUCAGCUCGUGCCGUGAGGUGUUAGGUUAAGUCCUGCAACGAGCGCAACCCCUGUCACUAGUUGCUACCAUUCAGUUGAGGACUCUAGUGAGACUGCCUACGCAAGUAGAGAGGAAGGUGGGGAUGACGUCAAAUCAUCACGGCCCUUACGUCUUGGGCCACACACGUAAUACAAUGGCCGGUACAGAGGGCAGCUACACAGCGAUGUGAUGCAAAUCUCGAAAGCCGGUCUCAGUUCGGAUUGGAGUCUGCAACUCGACUCUAUGAAGCUGGAAUCGCUAGUAAUCGCGCAUCAGGCCAUGGCGCGGUGAAUACGUUCCCGGGCCUUGUCCUUAAAGGGGCCGUCAAGCCAUGGAAGUCUGGGGUACCCUGAAGUCGGUGACCCGUAAAGGAAGCGCCAGGAAA